UACAGAGGGUGCAAGCGUUGUUCGGAAUUAUUGGGCGUAAAGGGCGCGUAGGCGGUGCGGUAAGUCUGCAGUGAAAUCUCUGGGCUCAACUCAGAGUCUGCUGUAGAAACUGCCGUGCUUGAGUGUGGGAGAGGUGAGUGGAAUUCCCGGUGUAGCGGUGAAAUGCGUAGAGAUCGGGAGGAACAUCAGUUGCGAAGGCGGCUCUCUGGACCAGCACUGACACUGAGGCACGAAAGCGUGGGGAGCAAACAGG
rnacentral:rRNA from 1 species